GACACUGAUCUGAAGGUUCGCAAAGGUAAGCGACCUGCAGUUGCUGCGAGAAAAGCAAAGGUUCUGAACAGCAAACGGAAGCAGGAGAGUGCGACUCCGGAAAACACUCAUCGGAGUAAGAAGUUUAGAAAGAAUUAGUUGUGAUCCCCCCUGUAAACUGAGCAACUUUGUUUCACUGUGCUCACUUGGCCUAGAGGAGCAAA
rnacentral:misc_RNA from 1 species